UACAGAGGUCCCAAGCGUUGUUCGGAUUUACUGGGCGUAAAGGGUGCGUAGGUGGUGAGGUAAGUCUGAUGUGAAAUCUCCGAGCUCAACUCGGAAAUGGCAUUGGAAACUACCUUGCUAGAGGGUUGGAGGGGGGACUGGAAUACUUGGUGUAGCAGUGAAAUGCGUAGAUAUCAAGUGGAACACCAGUGGCGAAGGCGAGUCCCCUGGACAACUCCUGACACUGAGGCACGAAAGCUAGGGGAGCAAACAGG
rnacentral:rRNA from 1 species